rnacentral:rRNA from 1 species
AGAUUGAACGCUGGCGGCAGGCCUAACACAUGCAAGUCGAGCGGCAGCACGGGUACUUGUACCUGGUGGCGAGCGGCGGACGGGUGAGUAAUGCCUAGGAAUCUGCCUGAUAGUGGGGGAUAACGUUCGGAAACGGACGCUAAUACCGCAUACGUCCUACGGGAGAAAGUGGGGGAUCUUCGGACCUCACGCUAUCAGAUGAGCCUAGGUCGGAUUAGCUAGUUGGUAGGUAAAGGCCUACCAAGGCUACGAUCCGUAACUGGUCUGAGAGGAUGAUCAGUCACACUGGAACUGAGACACGGUCCAGACUCCGUACGGGAGCAGCAGU